AUGGCUGUGGCACGGAGGCAGUGUGGUGUGUAGGUCCUCAAGCAUUUUGACGAUUUACAUAUAUCGGCCAUGAAUCCAGUGAAAGACCUUUUUGCUAAAGGUUUAGCACUGUACCACACAUCUUGUAGACCAGGAAGAGAGAGAGCUUCCUUGAAACAGGUAUCGAAAAGAAGGAGCCUCAUGACAUCCAAUGCCUCCCUGGAAAUUUUUUUGUUGUGUUUCGUGUCUGAGGGUGGCAUAUUCCAGGCCAUUUUCAUCUUUUGAGAAAUUGAACGAGUCCUUGCGGAUCUGAUGGUGGAAUUCUAAGCCACGGGAAAUGAAAUGAAUGGACAAGUUGUACCACACACAUUGUCGGAGAACAACAGGGGAGGAUGAAGCACAUUUGAAAUAGGUAGAGAUUCUCUGUAAAUCCUCAGUGUGGAUUACUUCUUUGUGAUUUGUGGCCCUUGAUGCCCCAGUUUUUGUCAUGCAUUUCAACAUCCCAUCAAGGGUAUGAUUGGCAGAUUUAAAUUCUUUGUCUCUGACGACAUCAAUUGACCUACCCAAAUCCUGCAGGUGUCUAUUUAUGGCAGAUCGGAGACUUUUCAAAGAAUUUUUGUGAUUGCCUUGCAUCCUGGAAAUUCUGCAAUUCAUCCUCAGAAACAGAUUUGAAUCUCUUUGCUGAUGGGGGUGUAGGAACAGGCACCCCGGGACAUGGCAGACCCUCCAUAUCUGAGACUUUCAGUUCCUGUUCCAUUUCUUCAGUUUCCUCAACACUCAGAGGUGCCAUAAAGGAAAGGUCUAGUGAUGCAAAUAUGUCAUCAUCUAGCAGAAGGUAUAAUUCUGCGUCACCCAUAUCAAAAUCGCCAAAUUCAGCCAUUAUAGAGACUAGAGUGACUUGGGGUCAGUGUAGCAGACGGGAAUUUAGAAAAACAUAAGUAAGAAAUUGUUUUGUAGAAAUGUUUUAUUAUUGAUUGAAGCCCAUUGCUGUGUUUACAAAUAAAAUCAUAAAAACAAUCUGAGAUGUUAGUUUAAUCUAUUUUUAGACUUCUGCAACAAGCGGAUGAGAUCGAUCAAUAUUGUGUAUUGCCUUAGUAAAAAUAGUCCCAUAACCUAGUUUUCACAAAUAUUCAUACGCACAUCUAUGACCUCUUAACCCCGUAAUGGAAUUUAUACAGUUAUAGAUACGCAUUGCUUUUAAUAGUGUUAUAUAAAGAAAAACAUUUGCAAAUGUAAAUAUUUCU